rnacentral:rRNA from 1 species
CCAGCCAUUCCGCGUGAGUGAAGAAGGCCUUCGGGUUGUAAAGCUCUUUCGCAAGGGAAGAAAACUUAUGAUCGAAUAAAUCAUGAGGUUGACGGUACCUUGAUAAGAAGCACCGGCUUAACUACGUGCCAGCAGCCGCGGUAAUACGUAGGGUGCGAGCGUUAAUCGGAAUUACUGGGCGUAAAGCGUGCGCAGGCGGUUUUGUAAGUCGGAUGUGAAAUCCCCGGGCUCAACCUGGGAACUGCGUUCGAAACUGCAAGGCUAGAGUGUGUCAGAGGGGGGUAGAAUUCCACGUGUAGCAGUGAAAUGCGUAGAGAUGUGGAGGAAUACCAAUGGCGAAGGCAGCCCCCUGGGAUAACACUGACGCUCAUGCACGAAAGCGUGGGGAGCAAACAGGAUUAGAUACCCUGGUAGUCCACGCCCUAANCGAUGUCAACUAGUUGUUGGUAGAGUAAAAUCUAUGAGUAAC